rnacentral:rRNA from 1 species
UACGAAGGUCCCGAGCGUUGUUCGGAAUCACUGGGCGUAAAGGGAGCGUAGGCGGCGUGGUAAGUCAGAUGUGAAAUCCCGGGGCUCAACCCCGGAACUGCAUCCGAUACUGCCGUGCUAGAGGAUUGGAGAGGUAGCUGGAAUUCUUGGUGUAGCAGUGAAAUGCGUGGAGAUCAAGAGGAACACGCGUGGCGAAAGCGAGCUACUGGACAAUAUCUGACGCUGAGGCUCGAAGGCCAGGGUAGCGAAAGGG